UCUGGUGGCGAUAGCGAAGAGGUCACACCCGUUCCCAUGCCGAACACGGAAGUUAAGCUCUUCAGCGCCGAUGGUAGUCGGGGGUUUCCCCCUGUGAGAGUAGGACAUCGCCAGGC
rnacentral:rRNA from 1 species